CGGUCUCGGCGCAGUGCGCUCUCGGGCCGCGCGAGUCACGCUCGUUUUUAUACUCGUCCCGGUGCGAACGGAGGACAUCGCGCGGUGGUGACGUUUUCGCGCCUAACUCACACGCGGCGGCCACAUCGCGGUCUCACUGGUCUCCGUGACGCGUGCCGGCGAAGGCGAUGACGGUGGUUUGGGGGCCCUAGACGCGUAUUCGCCCGUCGUAUCGUACGGAUAUAAUAAUACAAUCUAUAUUAACGCGCGACGGUGUGUUGCGGUGCCCACUCGUGUGUGUGUGUGUGUGUGUGUGUGUGUGUGUGUGUGUGUGUGUGUGUGUGUGUGGGUUUGAGUGUGUGUGUGCGUGCGUAAAACAGUGUACGUGCGACGAUUUCGUUUUCGACAUGGCGGCAACGGUGACGGUGACGGAGGCGGCGGCCGAAACGACCAACAAUAUUAUUGUAUAAUAUAGGCCCUCGUGUGUUGACGAUUUUCUGAAAUUCAACGAGUAAUAUAUUUUUACGGAGACAAAAGAGAUGGAUAGAGAGAGAACGAUGAACUGGACGACAAUGGUCGCGUUGGUAAACGGCACAGCCGAAUACGAGGACCCGUCGGGCACGGAGGAGGCUGUCCCCUGCCCGUCAACUUUCGGCGAACGGUUUCCGCUGUCGGCGGUGUUGAUGGUGUUCUGCAUGGUGACCGUGUUCGGCAACUGUCUGGUUAUCAUCGCUGUGGUCCGGGAGAGGUAUCUGCACACGGCUACCAACUACUUCAUCACGUCGCUGGCUUUCGCUGACUUCCUGGUCGGACUGGUGGUGAUGCCGGUGAGCGCCGUGCAGGAAGUGCUCGAUCAUUACUGGACGUUCGGCAUAAACGCGUGCGACGUUUGGCGGUCGCUGGACGUGUUGUUCAGCACAGCGUCCAUACUGAACCUGUGCGUGAUAUCGCUGGAUCGGUACUGGGCCAUCACCGAUCCGUUCACGUACCCCACGAAAAUGAGCCGGAAGCGGGCGUACCGGCUGAUCGCUGCGGUAUGGGUGUGUAGUGGCGUUAUCAGCUUCCCGGCCAUCAUAUGGUGGCGGCUGGUCCGCACCGAACCCGUUCCCAGCAACACGUGCCCGUUCACCAACAGCACCGGUUACCUGAUAUUCUCGUCUACCAUAUCGUUUUACGUGCCGCUGCUGGUCAUGGUGUUCACUUACUACAAGAUCUACACGGCGGCCGUAACGCAGACCCGGUGCCAGCGGCUGGGCACCAAGGUGCUGUCAUCCACCCCGUCGUCCGGUGGCGGUUCCGGAGGCUGUGGCGGUGCUGGUGGUGGUGGCAGUGGAGGUGGUGCCGGCGGUGGUGCCGGCGGCGGUCGGAUGGAACUCACGCUCCGAAUACACCGGGGCGGCGGGACAACCACGUCCGCGUCGGCUGCCCACGGCGGUAGUGGAGGCUACACGCGAGCUCACCAGCUGCAGAAAAACUUUUCCCUAAGUCGGAAGCUGAGCAAGCUUUCGCGCGAGAAGAAGGCGGCCAAAACGCUGGGCAUCGUCAUGGGCGUGUUCAUCGUCUGCUGGCUACCGUUCUUCGUCGUCAACCUGCUGUCCGGGUUCUGCGACGAGAGCUGCGUGUUCAAGGACCAACUGCUGUCGUCCGUGGUCGCCUGGCUCGGGUGGAUCAACAGCGGCAUGAACCCGGUGAUUUACGCCUGUUGGAGAAGAGAUUUCCGCAGGGCAUAUGGUCGGAUACUGUGUGUAUGUUGUCCUAGAAAGGUACGAAGAAAAUAUCGAAGACCGCUACGGUACAGGUCAAGUCAAUACAUGGGAGCGUCUAUGGUAUUAGCUCCUGCCACGGUCACAUACGCCACUGUCAACCAACAAGACAUGUUCAACAUCUGAGAUGACCUUGAAAAAUACAUUAAUUCAUUGGGUGGGCGAAAAAACGCUCAAAGAAGAUUCACAUCGAUAUAUCAAUCAUAUAAGUAUAAAUGGAUUUAUCCAAGUUUCAAUGCUGUUCAAUUUUUGAUAUCUAUAAAAAAACAAAGAAGCUUAUAUUUAUAAAAACUAACUUCAUAAGAUCUCAUCCGUCUCCAAUAAAAAUUUAGUAAGUUAAAAUAUAAAUAAAUGACUCGAAAAUAUUUUAAUAGAAAAAUCUUCUCAUUAGAAUUAAGAACUCAUCGUCGUUUAUCGCCUUCAUAAAAAUGUAUGAAUAUUGUCUAUUUAAGUGCCUAAUACGGUAUAUUGCUAUUAGAUAAUUACUAAAACAGCCUAUUUUUCAGAUAGGCUUUUAAAAUGUCAUAUGAUAAUUUUUUAAUGUUCAAUCUUCUAUAAAAAAUAAAUGUAACACAAUUUUAUAACCUAUCUUUGUAGCUAACCUCCACUAUUUAUAACUUGUGUGUAACACUGUAAUUAAUGGCCUUUGGUGUCAAUGUUAUUUUUUUAAGAUCAAUAUUAAAAAAAUAGUUUUUAAUCAUUUGUAUAAUGUAUACACAAAAUACAAAA